AUGAAUUGAUGAAUUUUAAUUCUCCAAAGUUUAUAAUUUCUAUAGUACGCAGUUUGAAAAUAAAUUCUCAUUUCAAAGUAUGUUCUUCUCGUGAAUAUUAAACACGUGGCAUUAUAAAUUUUUGAUUGGAAUUUUCUUUUUGGAAUUUAAUUGGAAGGAUAGUCCAAAGGAGGAGGAGAAGUGAUGCUACUGCUGAAAAAAGUGCGAUCAAUUGUUUCCUGUCGAGUUUAAUUCGU